AGUAGUUUUACUUUUUGAAAAUCUGGUAUUCUUUAUUUUCUGCCUCACCUUUCCAUAAGGAGGACAGUUACCAAUUUUGCAGUAUUUAAUAAGGAUGGUAUUUUUGGUACUGGGAUGUCCAGAGGAAAUCUGUAACCUACAUACUGAGCUCACUGCUGUCACCAAAGCUUUCUACCUGUGUCUGCUGUUGUAUGCUAACUGGGACAUUGUUCCCAGGAUUCCAUGUACGAUUGUGGGCAUUGUCACCUGCACAAGCACAAGAAUGCCUGGUCGGGGGUGAAUGGAGCUGAUAUCCAUCUCACACUGAGUCACCAAGUCCUGUACUUCAGAGAUUGACCCUUCCCAUACAGGGUACAUUUUUCUAAUUUGCAAGAAAGGUGCCCUAAGAGCUAGUGGCUUCCCUGAUUGCUCCCCUAACAUCAUGUGGUUAAAUUUUGGUAUCUCAGACAAGUAGAGGCUGCGGAUCUGCAGGGUCAAUUGGCUUCAGAUUUAGUCAAUUUCUUGUUUUUUAGGCAGUGAAUAAAUAUGUGGUUCCCCUCCCCCCCAGUUUUUUUCUUAAAAUGAAGCUCAUCAAACAAAUGUACCAUUCUGAGGUGUGUUCUCAAGUCAUAUAUUAUAAUUCAUUUCACUCAAAGUAUAUGAUUAAAGCUCAUUCAAAGCCCUAAGAGUUGGGAAUGAAGGAAGAAUUGUAGGAUGUUCUGCUGUGCCACAAGACUUAAUUUAUACCAUUUAUUAGUCUUACCAAGUACAUUGAAAGGAAAAAGUUGUUGGGGGCCAGGCACGAUGGCUUACAUCUGUAAUCCCAGCACUUUGGGAGGCUGAGUGGGGCGGAUCACUUGAGGUCAGGAAUUCGAGACCAGCCUGGCCAACAUGGUGAAACCCCGCCUUAUUAAAAAUACAAAAAAUUAGCCAGCUGCAGUGACAUGAACCUAUAAUCCCAGCUAUUCAGGAGGCUGAGGCAGGAGGAUCGCUUGAACCCAGGAGGUGGAGGUUGCAUUGAGCUGAGAUCAUGCCAUUGCACUCCAGCCUGGGCG
rnacentral:lncRNA from 1 species